ACCUGGAUAGCUCAGUUGGUUACAGCGUGGUGCUGACAACACCAAGGUUACAGAUUCGAUGGGACAGCUGCAUAUUCCUGCAUUGCAGGUG